rnacentral:misc_RNA from 1 species
CGGUAAAGAACCUGCUGGGUCAAAGGUCAUCGUUAGGAAAACAACAUGGUGGACAGUGCAAAUAAAACAGUAAAGAACUAUGAAAGUUUGGACUCUUUUAUACGUCUAUGAUAAGUGUUACAAACAAUAACAAUGAGAAUGACAUACUGUACAGUACAGAUGCAAAGAAAUAACCCAAAAUAAGGCCUCAAGAUGAUGAGCAAUGGAUCAAAGAACCAAACUCCUAAUCCAACUGGCCAAACUCCUAAGGGUAAACUGGACAGAAAUACUCCAUUGGAAGAAAACAAGAAAAUACUGAAAGUAUCCUCAGAAGAAGACAUUACUGCAUUUGCUCUAGAACUUUUGCGGCACUUGAAAUCAUGUGAUACUUAUGACAAUGAUGAGUGCUUGACAUCUCUAAAGACAAUCAGCUCUAUUUAUAGUGUUUGCCGCCCUCAUAGGUUAGCUAUUGGAACAGCUUUAACUGUUGAAGGACUGUCAGUGCAAUGCCAAAAGCAGUUGAAAUAUUUCAAUCAAGUGGGUGUAUUUAAGAGUGAUCUGGUAUGGUUCCCAUGUUAUUACACAAUGAAUAUCCUAUGGAAUUACUCAGAUGCUGUACCUACAUUGGCAAAGGCUUUGGCUGAUGAUGGUACAUGUAAGCUUCUGCUAGCCAAUCUCUCUCACAAACCAUACCUUGAUAAUCUGAGCAGCAAGAAUGUAACCUAUAUGAUCAAAGCCUCCUUGAGUAUUAUACACAAUGUUGCACGCACACCUGAGACUGGACAUGUCUUCAAAGAAAACAAAGGAAUUGAGGUUAUCAAGCCAUUCACCAAUUCUGACAAUGACUUCUUCAAAGCCCUGGCUGCCCUCACUAUGGCUUACAUUAUAGAUGAAGAUGACCUCAACACAUUAGAUGCUAAUAAAGACUCCAUCAAGUUUAUUGUUAACUGUUUAAGGACUGCACUACAAUCAUCAACAAGACGAUUCCGUGGAUUUAGCCCAGGAGAGCUGGCCAUGGGGCUCAAUAAAUUGGCUGUCAAUGACAAGAAUAAAAAAGUGAUCGUUGAAUGUGGUGCAAUCAAAGAAUUUGUGUUAAUGCUUAAAUCCAAUGAUACGGAAGAACAACAUUGGGCGGCUCGUUCACUUUGGACAUUGGCAUUUGAUAAAGAUGUCCGUGGAGAAAUCAAAGCAACUGAUGGAUGUAUAGAGACUUUAGAAAUCUUGAAAUCUAGUGAGAACAGUGAUGUAAAGAGGUCAGCACUAGGUGCGUUGUGGGUCAUUAAUGAGGACAGCCAAGCUCGACCUAAGGCCAAAGAAGGAGCAGAUCUUACAAAGAAGGGCCAUAUUAUGAUAAGUUACAAUUGGGACCAUAAGGCUAUAGUUAGGAAGAUCAAUGACAGACUUAAGGCAAAUGGUUACAAGACAUGGAUUGAUGUUGAACAGAUGGGUGGGUCUACUCUGGAGGCCAUGGCAGAGGCAGUAGAGCAGGCCAGUAUGGUACUACUGUGUUUCUCAGAGAAGUACAAAGACAGUCCUAAUUGCAGAACAGAGGCUGAAUAUACAUUCCAACUGCGAAAGAAGACUGUGCCUAUAAAAGUACAGCAGGGCUAUACGCCUAAUGGCUGGCUUGGGAUGAUGAUUGGGACUAAACUUUUCUAUGACUUUAGUGGAAAAUAUCCAUUUGAUCCAAAAUAUGCAGAGCUGGUUUCUCAGAUAGACAAGGAAAUGGGAGGAAAAGCGGAGGCAGUAGUUCAUGAGAAAGACACUGCCGUUGACAUCAUGGAUAGCGGAUUUGCACCAACUGGCUCCUCCCCAUCUACAGGAUCAGCCACUGGGUUCAGGAGGUUACGAGUUGACCUUAAUGCUGCUGCAUCUAAAUGGGAUAAAACGGAAGUUUUGAACUGGUUGAAAGAGAAAGGAUUUGAAAGACAAUCUGUUGCGUUUGAUCGUUUUGAUGGACGUAUGUUGGGGAGACUUGCUGGCUUGAGGGGAGAGGCACCUGACUAUUUCUACAAAUCAUUAAAGCGUGAAUAUAAUCUGGAUUUGUUGGACAUUUUGAAACUAGUUGAUGCCUUAGAGGAAAUCUUCCCACUUGUGGACUAAUUUAUGUCAAACAUAUUUGAGUCACACAAGAUACUUGUAUUUAUUGCAUUCUACAUGUUUAUGCACUGUGGAGAUAUUUAUUAGUUGUGAUAUUAUAACUUCAUAAUGUUUGAAAGUACAAAAUGAAGUGGGAAAUAUACUGAAAUCAAUGAGAAUGUACUAUACAGUAUGAAAAGACACACAAUUCUAGGCUGGACAAUUGAAUAUCAGUAUAUUCCCAUGGCCACAUCAUUGAUAAUCGCAGAAAUCAGCAAGAAUUAAGCACUUGUAAUGUAAAUGGGCAUGAAUUUAGAAUUUGAAUUGAAAUGCCAGACAAUCAUAUUGUUCAUUCAAGAGAAAUGAAGCAAAAAUUAUGACCAAAGAAAAGCCUUGUUGGCCAAUACAUGAUACAAUCACAAUAUGUCAUACAGAUAUAGUGUCAUUAUAUGUGAAAAUAAAGUGUCAUUAUGGCAUGUUUGGAAGGUUUAAGAAUCCAGCUGUAUCUUGGGAUUAACCCAAAAAUCAAUGUUUCAAAAAUCAUGAAUUUUAGGUUUUACCUUGUAUUAAAUGAUAUUGUUUCAAAGCUGUUUUAGAAGUAGAGUACUUCACAUAUCUAGUUGUUUUACAUUGCCUUUGAUGUCAAUUGAUGUGAUUAUACACCAUUGUUUAUAAUACAUUUGUUCAUGUAAUGCUAUU